CUUGGUCAUUUAGAGGAAGUAAAAGUCGUAACAAGGUUUCCGUAGGUGAACCUGCGGAAGGAUCAUUAUCGUAUUAUAGAGACGCGAGGGCUGUCGCUGACCUUUUUCAAAGGUCGUGCACGUCUGAGUGCUCUCAUCUACAAUCCACCUCACCCCCUGUGCAUCACCGCGCAGGGCCCCCCCUCUCUCUCGGCUUGCUUGCUCGCUUCUGAGGGGAGGCUCGCGUUUUUCACACAAACACCCUUUUAGUUUUAGAAUGUCAUUCAUUUGUGAUCAUACGCAAUCAAUACAACUUUCAACAACGGAUCUCUUGGUUCUCGCAUCGAUGAAGAACGCAGCGAAAUGCGAUACGUAAUGUGAAUUGCAGAAUUCAGUGAAUCAUCGAAUCUUUGAACGCACCUUGCGCCCCUUGGAAUUCCGAGGGGCACACCCGUUUGAGUGUCGUGAAUAUCCUUCAACCUUUCUUGGUUUUUCAACCAAGGAAGGCUUGGACUUUGGGGGUUUUUUUUAUUGCUGGCCUCAGUCGAAGCCAGCUCCUCCUAAAUGGAUUAGUGGGGUCCACUUUGCCAAUCCUUGACGUGAUAAGAUGUUUCUACGUCUUGGAUUUCGCACUGUUGCUUUGGACUCUGCUUCUAACCGUCUUACAUUCAAGACAGAGUUUAUAAACCUUGACCUCAAAUCGGGUGAGACUACCCGCUGAACUUAAGCAUAUCAAUAAGCGGAGGA
rnacentral:rRNA from 1 species